rnacentral:precursor_RNA from 15 species
UCAGUGUAUGCUCCUGCAGGGCUGCGAAUUACUUGGGCCAAGGGAAUGCAAACUGUUCGAAAAGCAUUGCAAAAAGUUUGUUCGUUUGGCUUAAGUUAUUUUCAUGCCCGAUAAAACGCCACGUGGUG